AUGAGUUAAAAUAAUAUUUGCAACUUACUAAUAGACAUAAACCAAGUUUACCAUUUUUAUUUUUUGAAUUAUCAAGACUCAUACUUACGGCUAUAAGUCUUUACUUUUCACACAAAUAAUCACAGGUGAUUUGGUUAAUGUAAAUUAAAUAAUAAAAAUGGCGACACUUGAAAUACCAAUAAAAAUGCUAAAAAAAUCUAAGAAAAGAAAGAGUAAGGAAAGAUUGCGUGAAAGUAUAAAAAAAGAUUAGCAUCGCAUAAAACAGGGCUUGAAUGUAACUUAAAUGCUUAUAGAAGAAGAAAAAAAAAAUGUUAUUAAGAUAUUUUAACGCUCUAUCCAGCAAGAAUGCUCAAGAUUCGUAUCUUGCAAGUUUAAUAACUUUAAAUAACGUUUCAAAAAGAAGACCACGAAGCAUUAAUUUAAAAGAUUAUAAUAGCAGCUACAAAUAUAAAUUUUUAAUUACAAAUCACGAGAUACUCACGAGUUCGUUUAUUUAUGUUUGCUUUUCUGCGUUUAUUUCAAUCUUUGGCAUAAAGAAUGGAAGAUUAGAGACCAUUAAAAGAAGCCUUUUAACUAAAGGUCACUCUCCCCGUGAUAGAAGAGGUAAACACAAGAAUCAGUAUAACAAUUUUACUCCUUAACUAAAAAAUAAAAUAUGUGAUCACAGUUCUUCUUUCAGAGGUAGAUACCAAGAUCUAUUAAUUAUAACCAAGAUGAAUGACUUGUUUAAAAUCAAGUAUG